CUUUAAGGAAACAGUCAAGUCACAAACCCUAGAAGCUGACCCUAAUCGAUAAUGGAUCCUCAGCCUCAGCCAGAGCAAGUCAAGUACAUCUGCGGAGGUUGUGGGGAGGAAGUCACUUUGAAGCCAAACGAAAAGGUUCAGUGCCGUCACUGCGAUUACUCUAUCUUGUUCAAGAAGCGCACUCGUCGUAUCGUGGAGUUUCUGGCACGCUAGGGAUGAAUGAGGAUGGAAUAAUUAUAUAUACAACUGUGGCAUGUGGUGUCCUACAUGUUCUGAUUUGCUCAUGCGGGUUUGGGAUUUAUCAGCAAUUAGUAUAUAGAAAAGAACGUUAGUAGGGCAAUGUGACCAGUUUACGGCUUGGUCUUUAAAAUAAUAUCAUAUUUUAAUUGA